AUUGAACGCUGGCGGCAUGCUUUACACAUGCAAGUCGAACGGUAACAGGGAGCUUGCUCCGCUGACGAGUGGCGAACGGGUGAGUAAUGCGUCGGAACGUGCCGAGUAGUGGGGGAUAACACAUUGAAAGGUGUGCUAAUACCGCAUACGUACUGAGGUAGAAAGUGGGGGACCUUCGGGCCUCACGCUAUUCGAGCGGCCGACGUCUGAUUAGCUAGUUGGUGAGGUAAAAGGCUCACCAAGGCGACGAUCAGUAGCGGGUCUGAGAGGAUGAUCCGCCACACUGGGACUGAGACACGGCCCAGACUCCUACGGAGGCAGCAGUGGGGAAUAUUGGACAAUGGGCGAAAGCCUGAUCCAGCAAUGCCGCGUGAGUGAUGAAGGCCUUAGGGUUGUAAAGCUCUUUUACCCGGGAUGAUAAUGACAGUACCGGGAGAAUAAGCCCCGGCUAACUCCGUGCCAGCAGCCGCGGUAAU
rnacentral:rRNA from 1 species